GAUUGAAGCAAACAAGUCAUGGAACUUUUACUAUAAAUUCAUCAAAUAAUUUUCUAUUUAUUAGAUACACAAGAGAAUAUAUAAUGACUUUACUUCUCAAGUUCCUUUAUGCUUUGAUUAUUUUUAUUUCUCUACUCUUUGUUGUAACCAAUGGCGCUCAAUUUCUCUGCAGUGAUGAUAGUGAUUGUCCAAGAGAUUUGUGUGUCCGUAAUAGUCUAACUCUGCGGUGUGUUAAUUACAUAUGUCAGUGCAGAUGAUGUUAGCAAUUAAAUUGCUUAAGUAAAUAUAAGUUACUUAAAAAGACGAUACUUCCUAGACCAAAAAAAAAAGGAUACUUCUAUGUAUAUAGUCUAUCUAUACAUGAUAUAGGUAUAUACUAUAUAGUCAAUACAUAAUACAAGUUACUUCUAAGUAUAUAGUCUAUAAUAAAGUCUAAAUAUAUUAAUUAUUCAUUGUAUUUAAAUAUAGUCGAUUUUUAUAUUAUUGGAAUACGAAUAUCAAUAAGCAAUUAUCAACAAA